rnacentral:rRNA from 1 species
UACGGGGGGGGCAAGCGUUGUCCGGAAUUACUGGGCGUAAAGGGCUUGUAGGUGGCCAACUAAGUCAGACGUGAAAUCCCUCGGCUUAACCGGGGAACUGCGUCUGAUACUGGAUGGCUUGAGUGUGGGAGAGGGAUGCGGAAUUCCAGGUGUAGCGGUGAAAUGCGUAGAUAUCUGGAGGAACACCGGUGGCGAAGGCGGCAUCCUGGACCAUUACUGACACUGAAAAGCGAAAGCCAGGGGAGCAAACGGG